rnacentral:misc_RNA from 1 species
AAGACUAUAGACCUGCGGAGUACCUGCGGAGGGAUCAUUAACGUAUCUAUGAUGGGGUGCGGAGCGCCCUGCUCCGGUCGAACGGCCGUGCAGCGGGUACGCCGCCCCCGUCCCACCUCACAAACCCACUGUGAACAUUCACCGGUGGAGGGGGCUCGGUCUGCGCCGUGUCCCCGAUGCCGAAUACCCAAACUCCAGUUGCAAAGAACGUCGUGCGGACUCGGUGCCGCCUAAAACAUG